GACAGAGGGUGCAAACGUUGUUCGGAAUUACUGGGCGUAAAGCGUGUGUAGGCUGCCGCGUAAGUCGGAUGUGAAAGCCCUGGGCUCAACCCAGGAAGUGCACUCGAUACUGCGUGGCUCGAGUACUGGAGAGGUUGGUGGAAUUCUCGGUGUAGAGGUGAAAUUCGUAGAUAUCGAGAGGAACACCGGUGGCGAAGGCGGCCAACUGGACAGAUACUGACGCUGAGACACGAAAGCGUGGGGAGCAAACAGG
rnacentral:rRNA from 1 species